rnacentral:rRNA from 1 species
UAAGACGGAGGGCGCGAGCGUUGUUCGGAAUCACUGGGCGUAAAGCGCGCGCAGGCGGGACUAGCAAGUCGGAAGUGAAAGACCGGGGCUCAACCCCGGGGCGGCUUCCGAGACUGCGGACCUGGGGACCGGUAGAGGCUGGUAGAAUUCCCGGUGUAGCGGUGGAAUGCGUAGAGAUCGGGAAGAACACCCGUGGCGAAGGCGGCCAGCUGGGCCGGAUCCGACGCUGAGGCGCGAAAGCGUGGGGAGCAAACAGGAUUAGAUACCCUGGUAGUCCACGCUGUAAACGAUGGGCACUAGGUGCCGGUGGGAGCGACCCCUUCGGUGCCGUAGCUAACGCGCUAAGUGCCCCGCCUGGGGAGUACGGCCGCAAGGCUG